GGCGAGGUGGCGGAGCGGCCGAUCGCAGCCGCCUUGAAAGCGGCCGUGGGGAAACUCACCGGGGGUUCAAAUCCCUCCCUCGCCG
rnacentral:tRNA from 1 species